rnacentral:rRNA from 1 species
UCCUCGCUCCGCCGCUCUAGAGUUUGAUCCUGGCUCAGGACGAACGCUGGCGGCGUGCCUAAUACAUGCAAGUCGAGCGGAGAUUUGAAAAGCUUGCUUUUCAAAUCUUAGCGGCGGACGGGUGAGUAACACGUGGGCAACCUGGCCUUGAGACGGGGAUAACUCCGGGAAACCGGAGCUAAUACCGGAUAACACAUAUCUUCGCAUGAGGAUAUGUUAGAAGGUGGCUUUUAGCUACCACUCAAGGAUGGGCCCGCGGCGCAUUAGCUAGUUGGUGAGGUAACGGCUCACCAAGGCGACGAUGCGUAGCCGACCUGAGAGGGUGAUCGGCCACACUGGGACUGAGACACGGCCCAGACUCCUACGGGAGGCAGCAGUAGGGAAUCUUCCGCAAUGGACGAAAGUCUGACGGAGCAACGCCGCGUGAGUGAUGAAGGUUUUCGGAUCGUAAAGCUCUGUUGUUAGGGAAGAACAAGUAUCUGUUGAAUAAGCAGGUACCUUGACGGUACCUAACCAGAAAGCCACGGCUAACUACGUGCCAGCAGCCGCGGUAAUACGUAGGUGGCAAGCGUUGUCCGGAAUUAUUGGGCGUAAAGCGCGCGCAGGCGGUUCCUUAAGUCUGAUGUGAAAGCCCACGGCUCAACCGUGGAGGGUCAUUGGAAACUGGGGAACUUGAGUGCAGAAGAGGAGAGCGGAAUUCCACGUGUAGCGGUGAAAUGCGUAGAGAUGUGGAGGAACACCAGUGGCGAAGGCGGCUCUCUGGUCUGUAACUGACGCUGAGGCGCGAAAGCGUGGGGAGCGAACAGGAUUAGAUACCCUGGUAGUCCACGCCGUAAACGAUGAGUGCUAAGUGUUAGAGGGUUUCCGCCCUUUAGUGCUGCAGCAAACGCAUAAGCACUC